GGCGGGCCGCCGCAAGGCUACCGGCUUCGGCUGGUGCGUGCCCGCUAGAGAACCUUCAAACUCUGAAUGUUAGUGUCGUCUGAGUACUAUAUAAUAGUUAAAACUUUCAACAACGGAUCUCUUGGUUCUGGCAUCGAUGAAGAACGCAGCGAAGUGCGAUAAGUAAUGUGGAUUGCAGAAUUCAGUGAAUCAUCGAAUCUUUGAACGCACAUUGCGCCCCUUGGUAUUCCGGGGGGCAUGCCUGUUCGAGCGUCAUUUCAACCCUCAAGCUCUGCUUGGUAUUGGGCCCUGCUGGCAACGGCAGGCCUUAAAAACAGUGGCGGUGCCUUUAGGCCCUGAGCGUAGUACAUUUCUCGCUAUAGGUCCCUGAGGGUUACUGGCCAGCAACCCCAAUUUUUCUAUGGUUGACCUCGGAUCAGGUAGGGAUACCCGCUGAACUUAAGCAUAUCAAUAAGCGGAGGAA
rnacentral:rRNA from 1 species